rnacentral:rRNA from 1 species
GAUGAACGCUGUCUUCGUGCCUAACACAUGCAAGUCGAGCGAACAGACGAGGAGCUUGCUCCUCUGACGUUAGCGGCGGACGGGUGAGUAACACGUGGAUAACCUACCUAUAAGACUGGGAUAACUUCGGGAAACCGGAGCUAAUACCGGAUAAUAUAUUGAACCGCAUGGUUCAAUAGUGAAAGACGGUUUUGCUGUCACUUAUAGAUGGAUCCGCGCCGCAUUAGCUAGUUGGUAAGGUAACGGCUUACCAAGGCGACGAUGCGUAGCCGACCUGAGAGGGUGAUCGGCCACACUGGAACUGAGACACGGUCCAGACUCCUACGGGAGGCAGCAGUAGGGAAUCUUCCGCAAUGGGCGAAAGCCUGACGGAGCAACGCCGCGUGAGUGAUGAAGGUCUUCGGAUCGUAAAACUCUGUUAUUAGGGAAGAACAAAUGUGUAAGUAACUAUGCACGUCUUGACGGUACCUAAUCAGAAAGCCACGGCUAACUACGUG